UUGUCUCAAAGAUUAAGCCAUGCAUGUUUCAGUACAAGCCGAAUUAAGGUGAAACCGCGAAAGGCUCAUUAAAUCAGUUAUGGUUCCUUAGAUCGUACCCACAUUUACUUGGAUAACUGUGGUAAUUCUAGAGCUAAUACAUGCAAACAGAGCUCCGACCGGAGACGGAAGGAGCGCUUUUAUUAGAUCAAAACCAAUCGGCGGCGGGUGCGAGCCCGUCGUCGUUCAAUCUGGGAAUCUGAAUAACUUACUGCUGAUCGCACGGUCUAGCACCGGCGACGCAUCUUUCAAAUGUCUGCCUUAUCAACUGUCGAUGGUAGGUUCCGUGCCUACCAUGGUCGUAACGGGUAACGGGGAAUCAGGGUUCGAUUCCGGAGAGGGAGCCUGAGAAACGGCUACCACAUCCAAGGAAGGCAGCAGGCGCGCAAAUUACCCACUCCCGGCACGGGGAGGUAGUGACGAAAAAUAACGAUACGGGACUCAUCCGAGGCCCCGUAAUCGGAAUGAGUACACUCUAAACCCUUUAACGAGGAUCAAUUGGAGGGCAAGUCUGGUGCCAGCAGCCGCGGUAAU
rnacentral:rRNA from 1 species